rnacentral:rRNA from 1 species
GAUGAACGCUAGCGGCAGGCUUAAUACAUGCAAGGCGAAGGGGGCAGCAAUGUCACUGUCGUACGGGUGCGUAACGCGUAUGCAACCUACCUAUCACUGGGGGAUAGCCCGGGGAAACCCGGAUUAAUACCGCAUGAUACAUAGAGAAUACCUAUUUUUUAUGUUAAAGAUUUAUCGGUGGUAGAUGGGCAUGCGUCUGA